UAGGGAAUCUUCCACAAUGGACGAAAGUCUGAUGGAGCAACGCCGCGUGAAGGAAGAAGGCCUUCGGGUUGUAAACUUCUUUAGUCGGGGACGAAACAUGACGGUACCCGAAGAAUAAGCCCCGGCUAACUCCGUGCCAGCAGCCGCGGUAAUACGGGGGGGACAAGCGUUGUUCGGAAUUACUGGGCGUAAAGCGCGCGUAGGCGGCUUUUCAAGUCGGGCGUGAAAUCUCCGGGCUUAACCCGGAAG
rnacentral:rRNA from 1 species